rnacentral:rRNA from 1 species
GACGAACGCUGGCGGCGUGCCUAAUACAUGCAAGUAGAACGCUGAAGGAAGGAGCUUGCUCUUUCUGGAUGAGUUGCGAACGGGUGAGUAACGCGUAGGUAACCUGCCUGGUAGCGGGGGAUAACUAUUGGAAACGAUAGCUAAUACCGCAUAAAAUUGAUUAUUGCAUGAUAGUCAAUUAAAAGGUGCAACUGCACCACUACCAGAUGGACCUGCGUUGUAUUAGCUAGUUGGUGGGGUAACGGCUCACCAAGGCGACGAUACAUAGCCGACCUGAGAGGGGUAUCGGCCACAACGGGACUGAGACCCGGCCCAGACUCCUACGGGAGGCAGCAGUAGGGAAUCUUCGGCAAUGGACGGAAGUCUGACCGAGCAACGCCGCGUGAGUGAAGAAGGUUUUCGGAUCGGAAAGCUCUGUUGUAAGAGAAGAACGAGUGUGAGAGUGGAAAGUUCACACUGUGACGGUAUCUUACCAGAAAGGGACGGCUAACUACGUG